rnacentral:rRNA from 1 species
AUACGGAGGUUGCGAGCGUUAAUCGGAAUUACUGGGCGUAAAGAGUACGUAGGCGGAUUGACCAGUCUGAUGUGAAAGCCCCGGGCUCAACCUGGGAACUGCAUUGGAUACUAUCAAUCUAGAGUACAGGAGAGGAGAGUGGAAUUUCCAGUGUAGCGGUGAAAUGCGUAGAUAUUGGAAGGAACACCAGUGGCGAAGGCGGCUCUCUGGACUGAUACUGACGCUGAGGUACGAAAGCGUGGGGAGCAAACAGGAUUAGAAACCCUAGUAGUCC